rnacentral:tRNA from 1 species
UUAACAGAAGCUAAAAUUUAGCUUCUUAUUGUUACUAAGAAAUUUGAAUAAAUUUAUUCCUGUUAAG